GGGCAGGAGUGUGGGUGGGGAAGUUGGGAUGACUGCGGCCCCUGAGGCCUGGGCAAGGCGGAGGGGCCUGAAAGGUGCUCCCCGCUCUGCCCAAGAUCAAGGCGGAAGAAGCGUAAGCCCGGCGUAGGCCCGGCGUAGGCCCAGCGUAAACCCUUUUAAACCCAGACGGCUGCAGCCCUCCAACCCCGACAGGGUCCCAGCUUGGCUGGGUUCUAGUGAUGGUUCCUUUCUAUCCUAGUUGCCUUUAAACCGCAGUUUUUCUUCGGAGCCCCAGGGCCAGAGAAUCUGCUCCCGGACCCUCUGUCCUGCCGGUCCCCAUGGCCUUUCGCCACGUGGGAAGUGGGGUUCCCCUCAUUACUGGGACCACCUUGCUCGAGCGCUUGUAGAAACAGAGUAGAUAUUGGUGUGUCCAUGGAGGUUGAGUUCAAAGGCUUCCUGGGUCACCCUCUUGGACUGGAAGGUCUAAGUCACUUUGGGAACCACUGCUUUCACUAGAUAUGCUCAGGUCAUGAUCCCAGGGCCAUGUGAUCAAGCCCUGCAUUUA